rnacentral:rRNA from 1 species
CUGAGACACGGUCCAAACUCCUACGGGAGGCAGCAGUGAGGAAUAUUGGUCAAUGGACGAGAGUCUGAACCAGCCAAGUAGCGUGAAGGAUGACUGCCCUAUGGGUUGUAAACUUCUUUUAUACGGGAAUAAAGUUAGCCACGUGUGGCUUUUUGUAUGUACCGUAUGAAUAAGGAUCGGCUAACUCCGUGCCAGCAGCCGCGGUAAUACGGAGGAUCCGAGCGUUAUCCGGAUUUAUUGGGUUUAAAGGGAGCGUAGGCGGGUUGUUAAGUCAGUUGUGAAAGUUUGCGGCUCAACCGUAAAAUUGCAGUUGAUACUGGCGACCUUGAGUGCAACAGAGGUAGGCGGAAUUCGUGGUGUAGCGGUGAAAUGCUUAGAUAUCACGAAGAACUCCGAUUGCGAAGGCAGCUUACUGGAUUGUAACUGACGCUGAUGCUCGAAAGUGUGGGUAUCAAACAGGAUUAGAUACCCUGGUAGUCCACACAGUAAACGAUGAAUACUCGCUGUUGGCGAUAUACAGUCAGCGGCCAAGCGAAAGCAUUAAGUAUUCCACCUGGGGAGUACGCCGGCAACGGUGAAACUCAAAGGAAUUGACGGGGGCCCGCACAAGCGGAGGAACAUGUGGUUUAAUUCGAUGAUACGCGAGGAACCUUACCCGGGCUUAAAUUGCAACUGACGGAACCGGAAACGGUUCUUUCUUCGGACAGUUGUGAAGGUGCUGCAUGGUUGUCGUCAGCUCGUGCCGUGAGGUGUCGGCUUAAGUGCCAUAACGAGCGCAACCCUUAUCGAUAGUUACUAGCAGGUUAUGCUGAGGACUCUAUUGAGACUGCCGUCGUAAGAUGUGAGGAAGGUGGGGAUGACGUCAAAUCAGCACGGCCCUUACGUCCGGGGCUACACACGUGUUACAAUGGGGGGUACAGAAGGCAGCUACACGGCGACGUGGUGCUAAUCCCGAAAGCCUCUCUCAGUUCGGAUUGGAGUCUGCAACCCGACUCCAUGAAGCUGGAUUCGCUAGUAAUCGCGCAUCAGCCACGGCGCGGUGAAUACGUUCCCGGGCCUUGUACUCACCGCCCGUCAAG